AUUAAAAAAGACGCGGGGAUUUAAAAUUUUCACCUCGUAAAAGGGAAAACGUGAUAGAAGAUUAGAAGUCGUGCCCCAAAUUAACAAGAUAAAUAGAUAGAAGUGUUGGCCGGCCAGAAUGAAAACGCAGACUCCAUCUCCUCCUGGAAUCUAUAACUCUAUUGUUCUCUAUGGUAGUGGAGCUCUAUUCUCUAUCGGUAAGGAUCUCUUAUCCUCUUCUUUAGUCUUUAUGAUUCUCCUAUUUCUUGGAAAUUUGACUUAGGGUUUAGAGAAAUCUAAAUUGGGGAUUUUUGUAUUUUUACUUUUUAUUUUUUAUGAAUUGUUUUCAGAUUGAAUCAGAAUUCUUUUAUGUAAACUUUCAAUCUCAAAUACGGCCCCAAAACGGGAAUAUGAUUUUUUUUUAUAAGGCAUUGGAUUAACUAUAUAUGUAUCUAUGUUUUCAUAUUUAUAUCAUGUCUGCCGGAUUGCUUGUGGGGUUGAGGUACUUUGAUGACAACAUCAAUACUCAAUAGGUUGGUGAAAGAGAGUAUAUAUUGGCGUUGAUCCAGAACAUCUUUUUGGGAACAAGUAGAGCAUCUCACUGCUUCCAAGGUAUUGCAAAAUUUUGCAGUUCAAACAACUUGGACUGGUUAUUGUUUUUUAUCUUAUUAGAUCUCUUGUUUGUUUUUCUUUACUAUUGAAUUUCAUAGUUAUUGAUUGUAGGAACAGGGUGGAGAUGUUAUACAGAGAAGUCUGGCAUUAGUAUCAUCCCUGAAACCAUCGAUAUCUGGACUUUGCCUUAUUAUUUUUAUUUACAUAAGAAGACCAAGAUCUUCAAAAAAAAAAAAAAAAAAAAAAAGAAGAAAAAGAAGAAGAAGAAGAAGACCAAGAUUCACAUUAGUGCCUUGUUAUCACUGAACGUUGUAUACAAAUCUUAAUGAGUUUAAUUGUUCUGUUUUUUUUUUUCUGUUUAUUUGGUCAAUUGCAGAUUUAGAGUGGAAGUUAGUUUGUUCUGUUUGGUUCAACUACGAAAAGAAAAUAAUCAGUAACAUUACAUGCUGAUAGAGGUUGUUUUUCGAAUCAGCUAAUAGGCCAAGACUUCUUCAUAUUUAACCAUCACUCAUAGAUUACCUUUACGCUUUUGGAAGUUCAGUUCAAUUCUGAGAUACACUGCGAGUUUUGGAAGCUGCUUUCGACGAAUAGAUUAGUUUUGUUAUUAAGACUUUUCGAUUUGUAUCAUCAGUGUACAAGGGCAAAAGAACUUGAUGGCUGAGACAAUGUAGUACUUGUCUAAUUUUAUGAAUAUUAAUUACAUUGUAUUUUGAAAUUAUUUAAUGAAAGUCCAUAUA